GUGAAUGUGCAUGGUCUCUGGGAUCUCUGUAAUUCGUUUCAUCAGGGAGCGACCCAGGCCUUUCUUGGAGUUGCGUUUCUUUUGGAGGGUCCAGGCUGUGCUCGCUCCAGGCUGAAGUGAUGCUGUUGUUGAGGUAUGGAGCAUUACCUUUGGAGCGAGCAGCAGGCCCAGAGUCACAGUCACAGUCAGAUGAGUGUGAGCGAAGAACAACAUGAGCAUCCAGUCAGGGUGCAGCCCAGGCACCAGAGAGAACCUGCAGGAAAACAUCAACGGCAGAGAUUCUGUUCAGUCAAUUUAUCAAAGUUUAUAUUUAAAAGUCAGCAGAACUGCAGUGCUUCUCGUGUCUGUGAAAUAUGUUCAGACACACCUACAAACACAGACAUUAAAAGCAGCCUUUAGUGGUUCUCUGGACGAAAAGAGCUGAAUGAAAUGUACCACAACCCUGAGGCAAUCUCAGCGUCUAAAAACUGUAAACAUAAAGGCAUAAAAGCAAAACUGUGUGAGAAUUAUAAAGGUAGCAGUUUAUUGCAGCCAUUUGCCUCCUUUUGAGGAGUAGAGAUUUGUUCAACUUGGCUUUGAGCGUAGCACUUUUAUUUUGUGUUGAGGCAAUACAGUGUUUGAA